rnacentral:rRNA from 1 species
GACGAACGCUGGCGGCGUGGAUUAGGCAUGCAAGUCGAACGGUAUCAUCCUUUCGGGGGUGAGAGAGUGGCGAACUGGUGAGUAACACGUAGGUUAUCUACCCUCAAGACGGGGACAACCCAGGGAAACUUGGGCUAAUACCGGAUGUGAGCAACUUUUAGUUGUUUGAAAGGUGGCGUAAGCUGUCGCUUGGGGAUGAGCCUGCGUCCUAUUAGUUAGUUGGUGAGGUAACGGCUCACCUAGGCAAUGAUAGGUAGGCGGCCUUAACGGGUGGUCGCCCACACUGGGAUUGAGAUACGGCCCAGACUCCUACGGGAGCAGCAGUCGAGAAUAGUCUACAAUGGCCGAAAGGCUGAUAGUGCGACGCCGCGUGAACGAAGAAGCCCUUCGGGGUGUAAAGUUCUUUUAUAUGUGAGCAGUGCUUUCUAUGUGAACGCAUGGGGAAGAGAUAUUAGCAUAUGAAUAAGCAACGGCUAACUCCGUGCCAGCAGCCGCGGU